rfam:Intestinimonas butyriciproducens strain AF211, complete genome.
AAUCGAAUACAGGGGCGCUGGACGCAAGUCCGGCUGAGAUGCAGGGGCGUAGCGCCGCCCCCGGUCCCUUGAACCUGAUCCGGGUAAUGCCGGCGUAGGAAGAUGAUUCGGCUUUUCAU